rnacentral:rRNA from 1 species
AUUGAACGCUGGCGGCAGGCCUAACACAUGCAAGUCGAGCGGAUGAAGAGAGCUUGCUCUCUGAUUUAGCGGCGGACGGGUGAGUAAUGUCUAGGAAUCUGCCUGGUAGUGGGGGAUAACGUUCCGAAAGGAACGCUAAUACCGCAUACGUCCUACGGGAGAAAGCAGGGGACCUUCGGGCCUUGCGCUAUCAGAUGAGCCUAGGUCGGAGUAGCUAGUUGGUGAGGUAAUGGCUCACCAAGGCGACGAUCCGUAACUGGUCUGAGAGGAUGAUCAGUCACACUGGAACUGAGACACGGUCCAGACUCCUACGGGAGGCAGCAGUGGGGAAUAUUGGACAAUGGGCGAAAGCCUGAUCCAGCCAUGCCGCGUGUGUGAAGAAGGUCUUCGGAUUGUAAAGCACUUUAAGUUGGGAGGAAGGGCAGUAAGUUAAUACCUUGCUGUUUUGACGUUACCGACAGAAUAAGCACCGGCUAACUUCGUGCCAGCAGCCGCGGUAAAAC